ensembl:lncRNA
GGCCUUGUCCUUCACCAUUGCGGCAAUAUCCCCAUUGAAGACCCCCACAAAAAAGAAAUCCGAGACUCUCAGGAGUCGCCCGCUAAUCAGUCUGUGGAGGAGGAGGAGGAGGAAGACUCUGUGCUGCCGCCUGCCAUCUCGUGUGCAGAGAGUAACAGGUUUCUUUAUCGUAAGACCUCCUGCAUGGUGCAAAGCGAGGUGGGUGCACCGGAUUGAGAGCCACGGCCGGCUGUAGCGUCACAGCAGCGCUGGUGAGGCUGGACUGCAUACACCGCCUCCCUCCUCCACUCUCACUGUGCUGCCGCUGCCGCUGCUGUCUGUCUCUCUUUGGACUUACUGGACUUGAGGAUGUUCGCAUUUUAUUCUGCUUUAUUUUUUCGUGCUUUAGUGCGAGGGCGUCAGGUAGCCUGCGGCUCUGCCGAGAUUGUUUCGGACAAACAUCAUGGACGACCCAGCUCUCCUUUGCUCCUGAUUUGAGUCAUCACUGGAUUGAUCAAGUGUGAUGAGUAAUGUAGUGGGCUUAGCUUUAUGGCUCAAUGAGUGUCAGAAAGAAGUCCUUACAAUAUCCCAGCAGGGCUGUCAGGACGAGGUGUUGUGACAAAAAAGUCAUUUUUGGUGUUUUGUUGUUUUGUUGUUUUGUUUUUUAAAACGGUUAAUGUCCUUGUAUAUUUUUUUUAUAUUUUGGGGUUAAUAGGCUGUAACCAAUCGAAUUUUUGAAGGUGUUAUACACAUUUGAGUCAAAUAAGUGAUGCCCAACCCAGCAGGAAUUCUGGCUCCAGCAGAUUGGAAGGCUGGUGAGAAGGUGACAGCUGUUGGUGUGAUUCUUUGGAAAUGGAAGAAACAUAUAAAUGAUCCAGAGAAGGUUUAGGAGAAAGUCAGAUGAAACCACAAUCAAGCUGUUUGGCAUCUGCUCGAUCCUCCGUGUUGUUUAUGACCCAAAGAGCAGCAUCCCCACAUCAAGCACAGAGGUGGAAACAUUCUGCUGUAUGGCUGUUUGUCUGCUAAGGUUACAGAGCGACUUUGUUACAUUGAGGGGACAAAGGACAGAGCCAUGUACAACAGUGUUCAUUUUACUGACCAAUAAUUUUGAUCAGUUUUUAUCAAUGACCUUUUCUUCUGAUAAAAACAAGACGAUAACUAAAUAAAAA